GAUGAACGCUGGCGGCGUGCCUAAUACAUGCAAGUCGAGCGAACAGACGAGGAGCUUGCUCCUCUGACGUUAGCGGCGGACGGGUGAGUAACACGUGGAUAACCUACCUAUAAGACUGGGAUAACUUCGGGAAACCGGAGCUAAUACCGGAUAAUAUAUUGAACCGCAUGGUUCAAUAGUUAAAGACGGUUUUGCUGUCACUUAUAGAUGGAUCCGCGCCGCAUUAGCUAGUUGGUAAGGUAACGGCUUACCAAGGCAACGAUGCGUAGCCGACCUGAGAGGGUGAUCGGCCACGCUGGAACUGAGACACGGUCCAGACUCCUACGGGAGGCAGCAGUAGGGAAUCUUCCGCAAUGGGCGAAAGCUUGACGGAGCAACGCCGCGUGAGUGAUGAAGGUCUUCGGAUCGUAAAACUCUGUUAUUAGGGAAGAACAAAUGUGUAAGUAACUAUGCACGUCUUGACGGUACCUAAUCAGAAAGCCACGGCUAACUACGUG
rnacentral:rRNA from 1 species